CUUCUUGACUGUUUGUUCCUUGAGACAUGGGAGCUCUCACCAUGCCAUGCCUUCUAUGCUUGCUACUGCUCACGAUUCCGCUCCAUUUGGUUCCAGGAUCUGAAGCCAAGACUUGCAAAAGGGUCAGUCAUGAUUAUGUCGCUUUCAUAUGUGUUCCCGAUGACUGUACCGAGGCCUGCCGCAAGGAGGGCUUUACCGAGGGGUAUUGUGGAUUUAUCCUAUUCUGUUUGUGCAAGAAACAAUGCUGAAGAAAAACGCAUUGCCGCUUCCGUAGAAUGUGAUGCGACGAGUAAUAAGAUUGUUGUAACAAGAACCGAUGACGAGCAAUUGCAAAAAUUGGGAAAACUGGCAAAUGUUCUUUAUGAAUAGAAAACUCUUUGUGGACUCUAUAUAUAGAGCUUUGAUCCUACCUACUAUGCCGGUUUGUAAUAAUAAGAUAAUCUCAAAAUGAAGAUACCAUUGAAGACUAAAGUCUUCACCUAGUAUCUUCGUAGGGGCUCAUUCUCAUUAAGGAUAACCAUGUAAAUGAAAUUGGGAGGGAAGUAAGAAGUGUGUUUUUUUGUCA